GGAGGUGUGGCAGAGUGGUCGAUUGCACUGGUCUUGAAAACCAGCAAGGGGCAACCCUUCGUGAGUUCGAAUCUCACCGCCUCCGCCA
rnacentral:tRNA from 1 species